rnacentral:pre_miRNA from 1 species
UCAUUCCCUCAGUGUUGAAACAAUCUCCGUUGAACCAUGUUACAGGAAGUUCACUGGAGUUUUGUUUCAACAUUGGAGGAAUGAUAAGAUG